rnacentral:rRNA from 1 species
CCAAAAACAUAGCCCCCAUAAUUAUUGAAGGUGUCGCCUGCCCAAUGGAUUAACCCCUAAAGGUAAAAAAAACUUUUAAAAAAACCAAAUGGCUGCAGUAACCAUAACUGUAACAAUGUAGCACAAUCAAUCGUCACUUAAUUAGUGAAUAGUAUGAAUGGCUAAACGAAAAUCUCACUGUCUCAUAGUAUAACCAAAAAAAAUUAAAAUAACAGUUAAGAUGCUGUUUAAAAUUGUAAGACGAGAAGACCCUAUAAAGCUUAACUAUUAAUCUUAAAUAAAAUUUUAAGAAAAGAUAGUUUCAUUGGGGCGAUGGUUUUUAAAAUAAAACAAAAAUACAACAAAAAUAAUUUAAAAUAUUUACUGUACAACCCAUCAGUUUAACAGUUACAAAGUAGGUUAAAUACGACCCAUUAACUUCAAGAAAAAAGUUAAUGAUUAAUAAAUAAAAGCUACUUUAGGGAUAACAGAAUAAUUUUAUUCAAAAGUCCAAAUUUAAAAUAAAGUUUAUUACCUCGAUGUUGAAUUGAGAUAUCCCAGGGGUGCAAAAGCUCCUAAAGGUAGGUC